rnacentral:rRNA from 1 species
AUGAUGCGGAGUCAUUCGCCAUCAAGAGGACCAAAGCUGCCAUCAGUGACCACCAGAUCAAGCUCAACAUCUCCCUCGCCUCCGUCAACGCACUGUCCCAGAGGGUCGUCGCCAUCCACGAUGAGCCCGCAGCUCGCGGAGCUCAUCCAAAUGUGGGCAAGGAUGUGGCGACUCAUCGGCGACGUGCACCGGAUGAUGUAG